UGAAGGUGUGUCGUGAGGCAUGCUGGAGGUAUCAGAAGUGCGAAUGCUGACAUAAGUAACGAUAAAGCGGGUGAAAAGCCCGCUCGCCGGAAGACCAAGGGUUCCUGUCCAACGUUAAUCGGGGCAGGGUGAGUCGACCCCUAAGGCGAGGCCGAAAGGCGUAGUCGAUGGGAAACGGGUUAAUAUUCCCGUACUUGGUGUUACUGCGAAGGGGGGACGGAGAAGGCUAUGUUGGCCGGGCGACGGUUGUCCCGGUUUAAGCGUGUAGGUGUGUGUUCCAGGUAAAUCCGGUUCACUUUAACACUGAGGCGUGACGACGAGGCACUACGGUGCUGAAGCAACAAAUGCCCUGCUUCCAGGAAAAGCCUCUAAGCAUCAGGUAACACGAAAUCGUACCCCAAACCGACACAGGUGGUCAGGUAGAGAAUACCAAGGCGCUUGAGAGAACUCGGGUGAAGGAACUAGGCAAAAUGGUGCCGUAACUUCGGGAGAAGGCACGCUGACACGUAGGUGAAGUGAUUUACUCAUGGAGCUGAAGUCAGUCGAAGAUACCAGCUGGCUGCAACUGUUUAUUAAAAACACAGCACUGUGCAAACACGAAAGUGGACGUAUACGGUGUGACGCCUGCCCGGUGCCGGAAGGUUAAUUGAUGGGGUCAGCGUAAGCGAAGCUCCUGAUCGAAGCCCCGGUAAACGGCGGCCGUAACUAUAACGGUCCUAAGGUAGCGAAAUUCCUUGUCGGGUAAGUUCCGACCUGCACGAAUGGCGUAAUGAUGGCCAGGCUGUCUCCACCCGAGACUCAGUGAAAUUGAACUCGCUGUGAAGAUGCAGUGUACCCGCGGCAAGACGGAAAGACCCCGUGAACCUUUACUAUAGCUUGACACUGAACAUUGAGCCUUGAUGUGUAGGAUAGGUGGGAGGCUUUGAAGUGUGGACGCCAGUCUGCAUGGAGCCGACCUUGAAAUACCACCCUUUAAUGUUUGAUGUUCUAACGUGGACCCGUAAUCCGGGUUGCGGACAGUGUCUGGUGGGUAGUUUGACUGGGGCGGUCUCCUCCUAAAGAGUAACGGAGGAGCACGAAGGUUGGCUAAUCCUGGUCGGACAUCAGGAGGUUAGUGCAAUGGCAUAAGCCAGCUUGACUGCGAGCGUGACGGCGCGAGCAGGUGCGAAAGCAGGUCAUAGUGAUCCGGUGGUUCUGAAUGGAAGGGCCAUCGCUCAACGGAUAAAAGGUACUCCGGGGAUAACAGGCUGAUACCGCCCAAGAGUUCAUAUCGACGGCGGUGUUUGGCACCUCGAUGUCGGCUCAUCACAUCCUGGGGCUGAAGUAGGUCCCAAGGGUAUGGCUGUUCGCCAUUUAAAGUGGUACGCGAGCUGGGUUUAGAACGUCGUGAGACAGUUCGGUCCCUAUCUGCCGUGGGCGCUGGAGAACUGAGGGGGGCUGCUCCUAGUACGAGAGGACCGGAGUGGACGCAUCACUGGUGUUCGGGUUGUCAUGCCAAUGGCACUGCCCGGUAGCUAAAUGCGGAAGAGAUAAGUGCUGAAAGCAUCUAAGCACGAAACUUGCCCCGAGAUGAGUUCUCCCUGAGACUUAGAGUCUCCUGAAGGAACGUUGAAGACGACGACGUUGAUAGGCCGGGUGUGUAAGCGCAGCGAUGCGUUGAGCUAACCGGUACUAAUGAACCGUGAGGCUUAACCUUACA
rnacentral:rRNA from 1 species